rnacentral:rRNA from 1 species
UACGUAGGGUGCAAGCGUUGUCCGGAAUUAUUGGGCGUAAAGAGCUCGUAGGCGGUUUGUUGCGUCGGCUGUGAAAUCCCGAGGCUCAACCUCGGGUUCUGCAGUCGAUACGAGCAAACUAGAGUGUUGCAGGGGAGACUGGAAUUCCUGGUGUAGCGGUGAAAUGCGCAGAUAUCAGGAGGAACACCGGUGGCGAAGGCGGGUCUCUGGGCAACACUGACGCUGGAGGAGCGAAAGCGUGGGGAGCGAACAGG